GCAAGACGCUCGGGAGCCAGCGGGGCGGGCAGAGCAGGCCUCACGCGGCUAGCGGGCCGGCUCAGCGCCCACGGCCCACGAGCGGCAAGCAGGCCGUGCGCCAGCAGCACCAGGCGGGACGCGCGUCAGCCCAGGCGGGGAAGCUGCUCAACCCCAGGUGGUGGCCCACGUGGAUAACGAGCUGAGCAGGCAAGCAGCUCAGAGAAUUACUCAAAAAAAAAAAAGGCAACCAGCUCAGAGCUGCAUCGGCAUGCAAGCAGGCUCGUGCAGGCCGACAGCAGCAGCAUCAAGCGUCGCAGCAGGCACAGCUCACGGCAGCAAGGCAAGGGGAGAGAAGGUAAUGCAUCUUUUCCUACUUGAUUCACAAGAUUGAAUAGCAUGGGGAGAAAGAAAAAAAAAACAGCACCAGACAUUGUUACGACUAUGAGCAUGACCAUCACGAGCUGGUCAGUAGCCAUGGGAUCCACGAGCCUGGUUCCUCCAGCCUCAACACAGCUCUGCUGAUGUCUUCUUCCAGACGCUUGGCAAGCUCGCUCUCCAAGUGUUGCUUGAGGCCGUCAUCACAGGGACUGCUAAGCCAGACUUCCUCUAGAGCUUUUAAACUCUGUAGGCCAGAAAACCGCAGUGAUGACUCACCACAGCAGCGAAUCCUCAGCACCUUAAGUUACUGUAGCAUGUACCCUGGAGUUGCAAGAAAUCUCGAGGAGCCCCAAGUAAAUGGUCUUUCUUCUUCCGAAAUGGAGCUCAUCGUCUUGGAACUCUGACAAUAAAAGACGUAUAUGAUCUAGCUGGUAUGGAGAAUCGGUGAUAUCAUCUACACCCUCUUUCGGUAGCAUAGUCAUCUGUAAUCUCAAUUUUCUGCGAUUGUUAAGCUGUUUGGUCCAUUUUGGCAACUUGCGUACCAGCCCGUACAGUUAAAGGCUCCGUAGGCUCACUAGAGGUUCAAAGGAGAUGUCGUCCAACCAGCCAGCUUCAUCGUCCUCAUCGACCUGAACUCUCAGUGACAAUGAUUCCAAAUGGUCAAGACCUGAGAUGACUGAAUAAAACUUCAGAAUGUUGCUCCGGUUGAUGCCGGACACUCCGAGCUUGCGCAACUGGGUAAGCUUCUUGAGCUCCUCCAGAAUGGCAUCCCCUCGCCCUCGGCCUGCAGUGCCAAUAUCGAGCAUACCCAGCGUGUGCAUGUCGGAAAGCUUCCCAAUCCCUCUGGGCAUCUUCACGCCAUUACGAGAGCUACCACCAAGACGACGGUGUCUGCUCAACUUGGAUAGCAAGCGGGACCCCAGAUUAGCACAUGGCCUGCACAUCGGUGAUUCUGAUUGUGCAGUUUUCUGAUCUGCUGCUUCUGUAUUAGCUUGAUGAUGAUGAUGAUCAUGCUUGGUGGCUCCAGCUCGAAGGUACUGAAGCUUGUCUAUCUUGAUGAUGCUUGGUGGCAGCAUGAUAACGGAGGUGCCUUUGAUAUCCAGAGUCUGAAGCUGCCUCAGGCCACCCAAUGAAUCUGGGAGAUGAGAGAUUUCCCUGACCUGAAGACACGUCCUCCAGAUCCAGCAUCCGGAGCAGCCUCAUCUUGUCAGACACGAAGAAUGGUUCCCACGGACUAAACACCGUCAAAGACCGUAGCCGUGUGAAAUCGAUGCUCUCGUACACAUUUGGGUCUCUGUCACAACUCCUCUCUAUGGCAAGAUGACGACCGGUGCGUUGCAAGUUCUUACGGCAAUGGCCAUCCAGUGCAAAGACAAGAUUAUCUUCCAUCGACUGUGAGACGAUGUAUUCACGGAUGAAACCAUUGACUUGGCACAACGGCAUCCUCUUGAAAUACUCCUGCUCAACUCUUCUUUCUGUUGUUCGGAGCACCUGGAUCAUGCUUAGAUUGACGAGCUUGGAAAAGGGCGUCUCCCCAUUCUUCUCUGCACAGUAGUUUCUUUACUGUCUCUGGAGUAUCCCUCCGCGAUCCACCGUCUCACCAAACGCCUCCGGCGGAUGAUGUGGUUCAGAGGGAAGAUUGACAAGUAGAAGAUACAUGGCUUGAGAAAAUCUGGGCAGGAAUGGAAGUAGGAAUGCAACCAGACAAACAGAUCUACUAGACUUGGCUUGGCCUUCAACUCGGAUACAAAGUUAUCUUUUCUGAGAAAUUCCCAAAACCACUCUUCUUCGUAGCACAUACCAGCUACAGCACAUAUGACUUUGGGAAGUCCACCACACUUGUGCAAGAUAUGCAGUUCGUCCUCGGUUC